GACGAACGCUGGCGGCGUGCUUAACACAUGCAGGUCGAACGAUGAAGCCUAGCUUGCUAGGUGGAUUAGUGGCGAACGGGUGAGUAAUACGUGAGUAACCUACCUUUAACUCUGGGAUAAGCCUGGGAAACUGGGUCUAAUACCGGAUACGACCAAUCUCCGCAUGGGGUGUUGGUGGAAAGCGUUAUGUAGUGGUUAUAGAUGGGCUCACGGCCUAUCAGCUUGUUGGUGAGGUAACGGCUCACCAAGGCGACGACGGGUAGCCGGCCUGAGAGGGUGACCGGCCACACUGGGACUGAGACACGGCCCAGACUCCUACGGGAGGCAGCAGUGGGGAAUAUUGCACAAUGGGCGCAAGCCUGAUGCAGCGACGCCGCGUGAGGGAUGACGGCCUUCGGGUUGUAAACCUCUGUUAGCAGGGAAGAAGAGAGAUUGACGGUACCUGCAGAGAAAGCGCCGGCUAACUACGUG
rnacentral:rRNA from 1 species